rnacentral:rRNA from 1 species
CUCGUAGGCGGCCAACUAAGUCAGACGUGAAAUCCCUCGGCUUAACCGGGGGACUGCGUCUGAUACUGGAUGGCUUGAGGUUGGGAGAGGGAUGCGGAAUUCCAGGUGUAGCGGUGAAAUGCGUAGAUAUCAGGAGGAACACCGGUGGUGUAGACGGCUUUCUGGACCGUAACUGACGCUGAAACACGAAAGCGUGGGUAGCAAACA